UCAAGCUAUAAAGAGCGUAGGGAGAAUGACUUGGCAUCAGGAGCCGAAGAAGGACGUGACAAGCUGCGAAAAGCUGCGGUUAGGAGCAAAUAUCCAUAGACCCGCAGAUAUCCGAAUGGGGAAACCCGGUACGGCAAUACCGUAUCACUGCAUGGUAAAUACAUAGCCAUGUGGAGGAAACCCUCUGAACUGAAACAUCUAAGUAGGAGGAGGAAGAGAAAGAAACAUCGAUUUCCUAAGUAGCGGCGAGCGAAAGGGAAAGAGGCCAAACCAGAGAUAGCAAUAUCUUUGGGGUUGCGGACUGCAUAAUUGAUUUAACAUCUUUAGCAGAAGUGUAUGGGAAGACACACCAUAGUAGGUAAUAGUCCUGUAAGCGAAAGGGAUGUUAACAUGGCAGUAUCCAGAGUACCACCGGACACGAGGAACCCGGUGGGAAGCCGGGGGGACCACCCCCCAAGCCUAAAUACUACCUGAUGACCGAUAGUGAAAAGUACAGUGAUGGAAAGUUGAAAAGAACCCCGGAAGGGGAGUGAAAAAGAAUCUGAAACCCUAUGUUUACAAGCUGCUAAAGCACUAUAUAUGUGCGAUAGCGUACUUUUUGUAGAACGGUCCGGCGAGUGUAUGUUGCAAGCGAGGUUAAGGUGUUAAGCACUGAAGCCGAAGGGAGACCGAGUGUGAAUAGCGCGUACAGUUUGCAGUAUACGACCCGAAACCGGGUGACCUAACCAUGGACAGGUUGAAGUGGAAGUAAAAUUCCAUGGAGGACCGAACCCACGUCUGUUGAAAAAGGCGGGGAUGAGCUGUGGUUAGCGGUGAAAUUCCAAUCGAACUCGGAUAUAGCUGGUUCUCAUCGAAAUAGCUUUAGGGCUAGCCUCAGGAUAGUUUAGCGGAGGUAAAGCACUGAAUGGGCUAGGGGGCUUCACGGCUUACCGAACCCUAUCAAACUCUGAAUGCCGCAUAAAUGUUUCCUGGGAGUCAGACUGCGUGAGAUAAGUUUCGUAGUCAAAAGGGAAAGAGCCCAGACCUACAGCUAAGGUCCCUAAAUGAAUUUAAGUGGAAAAGGAUGUGCAGUUGCGUAGACAACUAGGACGUUGGCUUAGAAGCAGCCACUCAUUUAAAGAGUGCGUAAUAGCUCACUAGUCGAGUGAUUGUGCGCCGAAAAUGUAACGGGGCUAAAAUUCAUACCGAAGCUUAGGAAUGAUAGUAAUAUUGUUGGUAGAUGAGCGUUGUGUAAGCCUGAGAAGCUACACCGAAAGGAGUAGUGGAGGUAUCACAAGUGAGAAUGCCGGAAUGAGUAGCGAGAAUUAUGUGAGAAUCAUAAUGGUCGAAAACCUAAGGUUUCUUGAGGAAGGUUCGUCCGCUCAAGGUAAGCCGGGAGCUAAGGCGAGGCCGAGAGGCGUAGUCGAUGCACAUACGGUAAAGAUUCCGUAGCCACCGAAGUCGUUAAAUACAGGGACACAGGAACAUAGCCUAACCCCACCGUUGGUUGAGUGGGGCGUAAGGGAGCGAAAAUUAGUAGCGAAGUGGGUGAUUGUACACUGGCGAGAAAAGCUGUAUGAAUUGACAAGGUGCCCGUACCGCAAACCGACACAGGUAGAUGAGGAGAGAAUCCUAAGACCAGCGGGAGAAGUGUUGUUAAGGAACUCGGCAAAAUGACCCCGUAACUUCGGGAUAAGGGGAGCCUACGCGAGUAGGCCGCAGAGAAUAGUCUCAAGCGACUGUUUAGCAAAAACACAGGUCUAUGCUAAAUCGAAAGAUGAUGUAUAUGGGCUGACGCCUGCCCGGUGCUGGAAGGUUAAGGGGAAGUGUUAGAGCAAUCGAAGCACUGAACUUAAGCCCCAGUAAACGGCGGCCGUAACUAUAACGGUCCUAAGGUAGCGAAAUUCCUUGUCAGGUAAGUUCUGACCCGCACGAAUGGCGUAACGAUUUGGGCACUGUCUCAACAGCCCACCCGGCGAAAUUGUAGUACCGGUGAAGAUGCCGGUUACCCGCAACUAGACGGAAAGACCCCAUGGAGCUUUACUGCAGCUUAAUACUGAA
rnacentral:rRNA from 1 species